GACAUAGGUGGCGAACGUUAUCCGGAAUUAUUGGGCGUAAAGGAUGCGUAGAUGGCAUGACAAGUUAUCAGUGGGAAAUCGGGGCCCAACCCCGUGGAAGCUGGUAAUACUAUUAUGCUUGAGUGCAGGAGGGGUUAACGGAACUCCAUGUGGAGCGGUAAAAUGUGACGAUAUAUGGAAGAACACCAAUAAGGCGAAAGCAGUUAACUAUCCUGUUACUGACAUUAAGGCAUGAAAGCGUGGGGAGCAAAACGGG
rnacentral:rRNA from 1 species